rnacentral:lncRNA from 1 species
GUACCUACAUUGCAUCCUAACUACAAUCAAAACAUUCCAAUUUCUUCACUGACAAGUCCAAAUCAGAUAUAAUCUUCAAUAAAUCUUCCAUUGCUUCUCUCUUCAAGAAAGACUCACACUUGCAAUCACACUUUCCUCUCGUUUCCGAUUUAACGGCCCCAAAAUUGCUUGCCUUUGUUCUUAAUUGUUUUUGCAGUUCUGACAACACACUUCAUCCCACAAUAGCAAAACGAACCACCAUGCCUACAUCCCCCUCGACCACCUCCAACGACGUCUUCCUUCCACCACCCACUGUAGGACGAAGACGAGCAGGAAUGCAUCUUCAAGGUGAACUUUCGAUUAAACCCUAAAAGAACCUUAGAAAAACUCACAACAAACUCAGAAGACC